rnacentral:rRNA from 1 species
CGCGGCCUAUCAGCUUGUUGGUGGGGUGAUGGCCUACCAAGGCGACGACGGGUAGCCGGCCUGAGAGGGUGUCCGGCCACACUGGGACUGAGAUACGGCCCAGACUCCUACGGGAGGCAGCAGUGGGGAAUAUUGCACAAUGGGCGCAAGCCUGAUGCAGCGACGCCGCGUGGGGGAUGACGGCCUUCGGGUUGUAAACCUCUUUCAGUACCGACGAAGCGCAAGUGACGGUAGGUACAGAAGAAGCACCGGCCAACUACGUGCCAGCAGCCGCGGUAAUACGUAGGGUGCGAGCGUUGUCCGGAAUUACUGGGCGUAAAGAGCUCGUAGGUGGUUUGUCGCGUUGUCCGUGAAAACUCACAGCUUAACUGUGGGCGUGCGGGCGAUACGGGCAGACUGGAGUACUGCAGGGGAGACUGGAAUUCCUGGUGUAGCGGUGGAAUGCGCAGAUAUCAGGAGGAACACCGGUGGCGAAGGCGGGUCUCUGGGCAGUAACUGACGCUGAGGAGCGAAAGCGUGGGGAGCGAACAGGAUUAGAUACCCUGGUAGUCCACGCCGUAAACGGUGGGUACUAGGUGUGGGUUUCCUUCCUUGGGAUCCGUGCCGUAGCUAACGCAUUAAGUACCCCGCCUGGGGAGUACGG